UACGAAGGGUGCAAACGUUGCUCGGAAUUAUUGGGCGUAAAGCGCACGUAGGCGGCAUUGCAAGUCGGAUGUGAAAUCUUAUGGCUUAACCAUAAAAGUGCAUCCGAAACUGCAGUGCUUGAGUACUUAAGAGGAUCGCGGAAUUCCCGGUGUAGAGGUGAAAUUCGUAGAUAUCGGGAGGAACACCAGUGGCGAAGGCGGCGAUCUGGGAAGAGUACUGACGCUGAGGUGCGAAAGCGUGGGGAG
rnacentral:rRNA from 1 species